GGCCGGUCUGCCCAGUCAUCUCAUUGCUUGGUGUUCUAUUUGCAUGUCAGUCAUUGUAGUCGUCACAUCGUCUUGAUUAGGGAACAGCCGGGGAGAAUAUUCUACUUCAUGCUCCCUCGCCUACAUAGAAAUAGAGGUAUGAGCUAGGAGGUCAGCAGAGAAAGGUCAAAAUUAUCUUAAGGACGAUAGCAAAUGGUCCACACCUGUAAUUGUAAAAAUUUGAACCAUUCCGACAGGAAAAUUAUGAGCAACGGGAUCCUUCAGAAAACUUGGCCUUACCUUCGACAAUGAGACGUUCAGAAACCUGUUCAGGGUAGCGCAGGCGUUUGGAGUUGGCUGCAGAUGCUGGAAUUAGUGAUAAUUGUUGCCUUAUGGGCUUCCUGGGCCGGUCUGCCCAGUCAUCUCAUUGCCUGGUCUUCUAUUUGCAUGUCAGUCAUUGUAAUCGUCAGCUUCCUCUUUGGGGAACAACAGGGGAGAAUAUUCUACCUCAUGCUCCCCUGCCAAUUUAGGAAUAGAGACCAGUUCCUGCGCAGUCAUGAUAGAAAGUUGCUCUCCUGAUGUUGAAGGUUGGAGAUGACACCCCCGCUCAGAUGGGUGCUCUCGGCCCCAAACCUCAUAGUUCACGUUCUCUGCUGUAGGUACUGUGUUUUAAGAAGCCGCUGAAUGACAGUGGGAGAAAUGCCUCCCGAAAGAAAAUAUGUGGUAAAGUUUGUUUGGCAGAUAAUAGAGGAGAUGCUGUAAGGGAAUAGAAGUGGAUGCCAUCAGUUAUAUAUGCCAUGUGAGGUGCAGUCAUCCCAUUAUGGGAAAAUGCCCAUUUUAAGAGUGAUUUCUUGGAUCUGUACUAAGGCGUGAAUUUGCUUGUACUCACUGGACUCCAACAAUAACUUUUGAAAACGCUGGAAAAAAAAUGAAGAGGAAAUAUUUGAAUCUACUAUUCUGUGACUAUGUAAACUAUGUAAAUUGUAGUCUAUUUCCAAAAGACAUUGUAGGAGGAGAAGCAUACUGCGUAACACCAGCAUCCAUUGCUAAAGCAUAAGUGGUUACACGAUACAUCACGAUGUGGAAAUACCAGAAAAGCAAUGAAAGAUUUUUCAUCAGUUGUCUGCACAAAUGCACCAUUCUCCAAGAGAUUUGAAGCGUUGCAGAAAAUCUCUCAUUGGACUUUCUCCUAGGGAUUUGUCUAGAUUAAAAGUUGGAAGUGGUCUGAGAUAACAGUUACAGAAAUGAGACGGCUGAUAAGAGACCAAAAGGAACUGGUGAAGAGUAGAGACAAAGAACAAUGUAUCUGAGGCUGAAGGGACACUGUAGAGAAUGUUUAAACCAUUUAUUUCCGGGACUUCGAUUUUCCUUCUAUAAAUGAGAACCUUGAAAUAACUGCCAUGUGUAUUGUACAUAUUUUACAUAUCUUUUUUGACACUCUUACAUCAGGUUUCCUUAUAAGAGGUUAAGUGUUUGAAGGGUACAUUGUCCUAUUCCUAGAGCAGUUUCAGUUAGACUUCCCAUGUCAUUUCAGACCGUGCCUUGCCCUUAGCCUCCUCUCUCACCAUUACAAGACCUUUCUUUAACACCAUUUUUCUGAGGUGGACCCCAGUGUUUGUCGCAAGUUCUCUGGAUGUUUUUACCACUAUAUUCUAGCAAUUUGUAAUACCAUUGUAAAGUUCCAACACUUAUUCAGCAAGUCCCUCUUGUGCCCUUUGUCUGUGUAAGUUCCAAUCUAACUGUUUCUCUAAGUAUUCCGUUCAGUGCUUUCUCAAGACAUACCAAUUUAUCACACCCUUUUCAUGCAUGUUUCUUCUCGUGUAGUCAUUGAUUUUAACAGAUUUUUUUAACAUUUUCUUCCAUCACCCAUACUUUAGCACACUGCGUUUCGGCAGCCUUUCCCCUCCUCUUCCUCCUCUGUAUUUUGCUCAGUAACAUGAGUUGCCUUAACCUUUACAUGUAAUUUGGAUGAUCUCUCUUCUCAUUCUUCUGGUUCCAUCGCUACCUCUGUAACGCUGCCUGAAAGUAUCUUGUACUAUUUCCUUCUUGUGUCUGACUGUUCACAUUCUGGUAUUUCUUGAUGUAUAUGUGUAGGCAUUUAUUCAUUGCCAUUAUGCCUCUUCUGCAUAGGAUUUUGUGUCCUGAUAGUUAAUGGCCCGUCAACACAAUUCUCAUUGUAAUUUAAUAAGUUACUUGUAUUGUUAGUUAUUUGUUUAUUCAUUUAAUUCAUUUUUUCCUUUUUAAUAAGUGAUCUCGUCCUUCUGUAUUUUCCAUUUCCUUCUGUUACUUUUUUCUAAUGAACGCCAUAAUAUCCUUUGGAAGCUUGAAUUUUAAGUCAGUGCCCCUGUGAGGGGCUUGUUACUUGUGAUUAGACUUCAUUUUCUGAAUAACAAUAGUGAUAAUUUUAAACUUAAUGCAAAUGCCAGGGGUGUUUGCUCAUUUUGAGUAGGCUUUUAUUUCCAUGUAUUCUGGUUGAUUCUUCUGUGAUUAUUUCUCUCUCUGCGGUGCAUUGUUCAUAUCUGAAGGGAGGACUCUCCUAACCUCUUCAGAUGUUGCAUUCUAUGUUGAUUUCUGUAGUGAUCCCUCUUUCCAAUCAACAUCGUUAGUUCAGAUUCUUUCUCUUCAUCUAGAAGAAUCUGGAAGCACUGCCUUUACUGUUCCACUGUGUCAUUGUAUUAUAAUUUUUCCCUGUCUUGUCGUAUUCAUGUUUACUGUUGUGUUAUUCAAGACAGGUUCAUUCCCAGAUGCCACAGCACCUCCUUAAUGAACCACUUGCCUAUUUUCCUCCCUCCUCUUCUCAUAGGUCUUGCUAUCCACUUUUACCUUGUCUUUUCUUAUUUCUGUGUCCUUCUGAAAACCUUAGUCUUUAUCAGAGAGGUUGCUCAGGUCAUUCAUUAGGUCAUGUGGAAUUUUUCUGGUUCUUAGCUGACUGACAGAAGUUUUUGUUGUUUUUUAUCUAAGACAGUCUUGUAAGGGGUCACCAAUGAAGUUGCAACUUGUGUGGCUUAGUGUAGAUGGUACAAAAUAUUCUCUUUGACAUCUGUUAGAAUUGGAAUAUACGUAUUGCUUUUUGCCUCUUAUUUUUUACGCUGACAUUGUUCAAUUUUCAGGCCUUAAGCAAAUGCUAUUUAAUCAUAAAACUUCAGUAAUGUUAGGGGCACAGUAUAUUAAUAGAUUUGAUUAUAUUUACAUGCAUUCAUUUUCUCAGCCAAAUUAUAACUUUUGGCUAAAUUAGAUACCCAUUAAUAUUAUUAAACCAUUAUGCAAGUCCUUACAUUGAUGUGGGAAGUAACAAAACAUGCUAUAUUAGGUAACAUGAGUUUUAAGUUUGUUCCUUAAUAUCUAGCAUACUGUAUUUAUUUACAGUGUGACUUUAUAUUGAAAUUUAUCAGUAUAAAAGUUGCCUUAAGGGAUACAUAAUUAUUUGUAAAAUAUGUACUCCAUUACAUAAAUAUUUGUUUUUGGGAAACAAAUAUUCUGUCUUGUCUAUUCAGUGCGAGUACCACGUAAUGACUAAUUGAGAGUCAAGUCAGAAAAGAAACAAAAUUGUAUUAUAGCCUACAGAUCUUUGGAAAAGCUUCCUGAUUUUGCUUCCUUUAUAAUUGUAAAUAAGGUAAUGAAUUUUACUUAAGGCCAUUUUGAAAAUACAGAAAAAUUGCACAGUUUUUAAGUUAUUUGAAUAAAUAGUGCGUGUGUUUUGUUGACACCUACAAAAAAUAAUUAUCAUUUCAGGUAAAUUUUUAUUGUCAUUUUUUACAGACCUCUCCAGGUUUGAUCCCUAAAAUCAAAUCCAGUCUAAGUCAAGUGUAAAGAUAUCAGCCAUUAGGCGUACCUUUUCCUAUUGGAAAUCUCAUAUGCCUAUUGUCAGGAAGUUGUCUUCAUUUUGAAUAGUUGUCAGGUGUGAGGGAUGUGCUCUAGUGUGGGAUCGAAUCCCAGUUCUGUAUCCCACAAUUCUAAUUCUGGUGUUUUUUUGUUGAUUUUCCUUAACGUCUUUCUUGCCACAGUUAGUCCUUAGUUAAGGUUCACUGUUAUCUCCCUGUUGUCCCCUUCAGGUGGCUUUAUGUUUGACCUGUUUGAUUUGCUUGGGAAGAAAAAAUGUGACUCACUGACUUAUCUGUAACCCUCUUAAUGGUGCCAUCCAUGUUGGAUUCUAGUUGCUGAUGUUUAUUGUUCUCAUCAGUUGCAUCAACUAUCUCGUCCUGGUGUUGCUUUUAAUCCAUUGAAUCCCUUCAUACCUCUAGGCAGCAAUUGGUUUGUGACUUCUGCUGCUUAAGAUCAUUGCGUUUGUGUGUGUUUUUUUUUUUUUUUUU